rnacentral:piRNA from 1 species
GGCCUGUGGGUCGUGUUGUCAUGCCUCGG